GCGCGCCACGCCGAGGACCGGGCGGGCAGGCGGAGGGAGAGGCGGGGAGAGCCGCGUCCUGCUUGCUAAUGGAGGAGGCGGCGCCGCCGCGGCGGGUCUCUCGCCGGCGCUGCCUGCCCUCCUCCCGCGCGGGGCGCCCGGCAAGGGGGCGUGGGGCUGUCGCGGCGGCCAGCCGAGAAGCGCCAUUUUGUGCCCUCCCCCCUCGGCCUCUCGCUCCUCCGACAGGCCCCCGCCGCCGCCCCCGCCGCCUCUCGCCCGCUCGCUCCCUGGGCGCCCACGCUCCUUCCCGGUGGCGGCGGCGGCGGCGGCGCGUGAGGAGACCGUGGCGGGGCGAAGAAGACGCGCGCGUCUCUCCAUAAGCAAAUGGCCUCCUCGUCCCUCACGGCGCGCCGCCGAGACCUCUUGGCCAGGCCUGCCGGGCGAAGGGGCCGCCGGGGCAGCUGACGGGAGGACGGGAGCGGGGCUCCGCGGGGAAAGCGCGCCUUGGAAUGGCGAACACCCCCCAAAAAGAAAGAGAGCCCCCGAGGGCACCGCAGUGAAGGAAAAGGAGGAGAAACGCGCAGGCAGUUCUGGGGGGGGGCGGAAUCGGCGGGGGGAAAUGCUCGUCGCAAAAUAGAGGCGCACACAUAACUUCCUACAGCAAGCACAAUUCCUUCUCCACGAGUAUAAUUAGAGCAAAAUCAGAUUUAAAAGAUAAGGAGCGCUAAUUCGUCGGAGCCCGGAAGCAUCUCGUGGCGGGCGGCAGAGGCCUCCGCUCCAGAGCUCCUUGCUCGGCUUUUGUGUGUCAGGUGGAUUUUGCAACCGCUGGGCCGGUCAGAAGAUAGGUUUAGACAACAUGACUAAGAAAUACCGUAUGCAUUUAUUCCUAAAUUGCUCGUCAAAAAUAGCUAUUAUUUCUACCAAGCAUAUUCUUCAAGUACUGCAGAUUACUUCGAAGCAAGCAAAAACAAGGUCUGUGGCGCCUUAAAGACUAACAAAUUCAACAGCAAGUCAAGUAGAUUAUUCUAUUAAAAAAUGAACAGAAAACUUCACUAUUUGGCCCAAGAUUUACAUUUCUGUGUAUAAGACAAUGUUUUUUGCCCAUUCUUUUUGACCCAAAUUGGGUGUUGUCUUAUACACGAAUGGGGAAUGCACAAGGGUAAAACACACACGCACUAAUGACCUGUCUGUGACUGCCAUGAAGAAGCCGCCAGAACCACAAAUUAUUUCACCUGGCGCUCUUUUGGGGGAUGCUGGCCCUCGCCUGCUGCUGCUGCCUCGUCCUCAACAACUUUGGCCAACUUCCCCCAAGAAAGCUCAACAAAGCAAGGGUGCCUUGCAGGUCGGAGCUCCACUGCUGCUUCUGCCAACCGUCACAGGCUGUUUAAAGUAUUGAUUUAUUAAUUUUGGGUUCAAAAAAAUAGGGGUCGUCUUAUACAUGGAAAAAUACUGUAAAUCAACCUAUGACAAAUCCGUAACAAUGUUCAUUUCAUAUUUUAUAAACUCAAGUAGGACACAUGCCAAGUAGUUACAUUUUGGUUGGAGGCUUCAUAUGUAUUGUUCUUUAGCUAUGUAUUUUCAAUAUUGCAACCACUGAAAUACACUUGAUUGGAAUAUCUCUUUAUUUUUUGCAUUGAACAUUUAUAUUGGAUUGGUGAAUUUUAAAAUGAAAGAAUAAACAGUUACUGCUAUGCUAUUUUUUUUGGACUUUAGACACCAAUCAAGAAGGGUUAAGAAAUGUAGUUGCGGCUGUUGUUAUUAAUAGACAUUUUACAAGUUUUAGUGAACAAAGAAAAGAAAUGACUGCAUCAAUGAAGGGACAGUUUUAAACAUUCUUAACGCAACAAGUACAGUGUUACACUGCACAGUUAAUAAGCAGCAUAAAUUAUGUUGUUAAUUUGUGAUACAGCAUCCAGGUUUUCCUUCUUCACAGUUCUUACCAUCUUGCUUUUCUUUAAAAGGGGGCAGGGAGGGAAAGUUUGCUCUUAUCUUUCCCCGCACUGCCAAGGUGCGGAACCUUUUGCAAUCCAAGGGCUGGAUACCCUUUUGAGUGAGGGAGGCGGAUGGCACUGUGGUCUAAACCACUGAGCCUCUUGGGCUUGACGGUUUGAACCCACACAGUGGGGUGAGCCUCUGUUGUUUUGUUGUCAAAAAAUUAUUAAUUUUCCACAUUUAUAACAAACAUAACAUAUAAAACACACAAAACACAUCACAAUACU